CUACGGGCCGCACCAGUGGGGAAUAUUGCACAAUGGAGGAAACUCUGAUGCAGCAACGCCGCGUGGAGGAUGACACUUUUCGGAGCGUAAACUCCUUUUAUAUAGGAAGAAGAUGACGGUACUAUAUGAAUAAGCGCCGGCUAACUCCGUGCCAGCAGCCGCGGUAAUACGGAGGGCGCAAGCGUUACUCGGAAUCACUGGGCGUAAAGAGCGUGUAGGCGGAUUAAAAAGUCAGAAGUGAAAUCCUAUAGCUUAACUAUAGAACUGCUUCUGAAACUCUUAAUCUAGAAUAUGGGAGAGGUAGAUGGAAUUGCUGGUGUAGGGGUAAAAUCCGUAGAGAUCAGAAGGAAUACCGAUUGCGAAGGCGAUCUACUAGAACAUUAUUGACGCUGAGACGCGAAAACGUGGGGAGCAAACAGGAUUAGAUACCCGUGUAGUC
rnacentral:rRNA from 1 species